GACGAACGCUGGCGGCGUGCUUAACACAUGCAAGUCGAGCGGAAAGGCCCUGCGCUUGCGGGGUUCUCGAGAGGCGAGAGGGUGAGUGUAACGCGAGGAACAUCUACUUUUCUGUGGGGUAAAACCUGGGAAAUCGGGCGCUUACCCCGUAUAAUAUCCUGCUCCAUAGGGGUGAAUGGUAAAAGACGGCGGUUGUGGAUGGACUAGAGGCUUAUCAGCUUGUUGGGGGGGUAGUGACUUACAAGGGCUUUGAAGGGUAGCCGGCCUGGGAGGGUGACCGGCCACAAUGCGCCUGAGAUACGGCCCAGACUGCUACGGGAGGCAGUGGUGGAGAACAUUGCACAAUGGGCGGAAGCCUGAUGCAGCAAUGUCGCGUGCGGGAUGACGGCUUUCGGGGUGUAAACCUCUUUCGCCUGUGACGAAGCGUGAGUGACGGUAACGGGUAAAGAAGCCCCGGCUAACUACGUG
rnacentral:rRNA from 1 species